CCUACGGGAGGCUGCAGUGAGGAAUAUUGGUCAAUGGACGAGAGUCUGAACCAGCCAAGUAGCGUGAAGGAUGACUGCCCUAUGGGUUGUAAACUUCUUUUAUAUGGGAAUAAAACGUUCCACGUGUGGGAUUUUGUAUGUACCAUAUGAAUAAGGAUCGGCUAACUCCGUGCCAGCAGCCGCGGUAAUACGGAGGAUCCGAGCGUUAUCCGGAUUUAUUGGGUGUAAAGGGAGCGUAGGUGGAUUGUUAAGUCAGUUGUGAAAGUUUGCGGCUCAACCGUAAAAUUGCAGUUGAAACUGGCAGUCUUGAGUACAGUAGAGGUGGGCGGAAUUCGUGGUGUAGCGGUGAAAUGCUUAGAUAUCACGAAGAACUCCGAUUGCGAAGGCAGUUCACUGGACUGCAACUGACACUGAGGCUCGAAAGUGUGGGUAUCAAACAGGAUUAGAUACCCCUGUAGUC
rnacentral:rRNA from 1 species